rnacentral:rRNA from 1 species
UCACCUACGGGGCGCAGCAGUGGGGAAUAUUGCACAAUGGGCGAAAGCCUGAUGCAGCAACGCCGCGUGAAGGAAGAAGGUCUUCGGAUCGUAAACUUCUGUCCUUGGGGAAGAUAAUGACGGUACCCUUGGAGGAAGCCCCGGCUAACUACGUGCCAGCAGCCGCGGUAAUACGUAGGUGGCAAGCGUUGUCCGGAUUUACUGGGUGUAAAGGGCGUGCAGCCGGGCUGACAAGUCAGAUGUGAAAUCCCGCGGCUCAACCGCGGAACUGCAUUUGAAACUGUCAGUCUUGAGUACCGGAGAGG